GGCUUCGUAGUUCAGCUGUUAGAACAUUUUCCACGUUUGGGCACGUUGUUUCUGUCGCUGGUUCGAAUCCAGCCGAAGUCC
rnacentral:tRNA from 1 species